rnacentral:rRNA from 1 species
CGUGCCGUAAUACAUGCAGGUCGAGCGAAUCGAUAGAAGCUUGCUUCUGUUGGUUAGCGGCGGACGGGUGAGUAACACGUGGGCAACCUGCCUGUAAGACUGGGAUAACACCGGGAAACCGGUGCUAAUACCGGAUAAUCCUUUUCCCUCAUGAGGAAAGUUUGAAAGUCGGUUUCGGCUGACACUUACAGAUGGGCCCGCGGCGCAUUAGCUAGUUGGUGAGGUAACGGCUCACCAAGGCGACGAUGCGUAGCCGACCUGAGAGGGUGAUCGGCCACACUGGGACUGAGACACGGCCCAGACUCCUACGGGAGGCAGCAGUAGGGAAUCUUCCACAAUGGACGAAAGUCUGAUGGAGCAACGCCGCGUGAGCGAUGAAGGCCUUCGGGUCGUAAAGCUCUGUUGUUAGGGAAGAACAAGUACCGGAGUAACUGCCGGUACCUUGACGGUACCUAACCAGAAAGCCACGGCUAACUACGUG